rnacentral:tRNA from 1 species
AAGGGAGACCUAAUUCAGGUAGGAGACGAAAAAAAAGUAGUCCCUACCAAGAAUCAAUCCCAAAAGGUCGGAGCGAGGCAAAAUUGGCUUUCAAACUAGGUUCUGGGUUCACACAAGACCUGAAUCAGGAACAAGGGCUAUUAGCUCAGGUGGUUAGAGCGCACCCCUGAUAAGGGUGAGGUCCCUGGUUCGAGUCCAGGAUGGCCCACCUGUACAGGUGGCAAAAACAAAGAAAAGAAGCGAGGAAUCAGCACCUUAUCUUACUUAUAUAGUAAGAGAGAAUGCUGGCUCUGAGUAAAGAGCCCAGAGGAACCUUGAAAACUGCAUAGAGCUAGGUGAAAAAGCCAAAAAAGAAGACCGCAA